GGGUUGUGAGGUUAAGCGACUAAGCGUACACGGUGGAUGCCCUGGCAGUCAGAGGCGAUGAAGGGCGUGCUAAUCUGCGAUAAGCGCCGGUAAGGUGAUAUGAACCGUUAUAACCGGCGAUACCCGAAUGGGGAAACCCAGUGUGAUUCGUCACACUAUCAUUAACUGAAUCCAUAGGUUAAUGAGGCGAACCGGGGGAACUGAAACAUCUAAGUACCCCGAGGAAAAGAAAUC
rnacentral:rRNA from 1 species